rnacentral:rRNA from 1 species
UGGGGAAUCUUGGGCAAUGGGGGCAACCCUGAUCCAGCCAUGCCGCGUGAGUGAUGAAGGCCUUAGGGUCGUAAAGCUCUUUCGCCUGUGAAGAUAAUGACGGUAGCAGGUAAAGAAACCCCGGCUAACUCCGUGCCAGCAGCCGCGGUAAUACGGAGGGGGGUUAGCGUUGUUCGGAAUUACUGGGCGUAAAGCGCACGUAGGCGGACCAGAAAGUUGGGGGUGAAAUCCCGGGGGCUCAACCCCGGAACUGCCUCCAAAACUAUUGGUCUAGAGUUCGAGAGAGGUGAGUGGAAUUCCAAGUGUAGAGGUGAAAUUCGUAGAUAUUUGGAGGAACACCAGUGGCGAAGGCGGCUCACUGGCUCGAUACUGACGCUGAGGUGCGAAAAGUGUGGGGAGCAAAACAGGAUUAGAUACCCCUGGUAGUCCACACCGUAAAACGAUGAAUGCCAGUCGUCGGGGUAGCAUGCUAUUCGGUGACACACCUAACGGAUUAAGCAUUCCGGCCUGGGGAGUACGGUCGCAAGAUUAAAACUCAAAUGAAUUG